rnacentral:rRNA from 1 species
GUGAGGAAUUUUCCGCAAUGGGCGAAAGCCUGACGGAGCAAUGCCGCGUGAAGGAUGAAGGCCUAUGGGUUGUAAACUUCUUUUCUCAGAAAAGAAUUAUGACGGUAUCUGAGGAAUAAGCAUCGGCUAACUCUGUGCCAGCAGCCGCGGUAAGACAGAGGAUGCAAGCGUUAUCCGGAAUGAUUGGGCGUAAAGCGUCGGUAGGUUGUUUAAAAAGUAUUCUGUCAAAGAUUAGGGCUUAACCCUAGAUAGGCAGAAUAAACUUUUAAGCUAGAGUUUGGUAGAGGCAGAGGGAAUUCCCGGUGGAGCGGUGAAAUGCGUAGAUAUCGGGAGGAACACCAAAGGCGAAGGCACUCUGCUGGGCCAAUACUAACACUGAGAGACGAAAGCGAGGGGAGCAAAUGGGAUUAGAAACCCUGGUAGUCC